rnacentral:rRNA from 1 species
GACGAACGCUGGCGGCGUGCUUAACACAUGCAAGUCGAACGGAAAGGCCCUGCUUUUGUGGGGUGCUCGAGUGGCGAACGGGUGAGUAACACGUGAGUAACCUGUACUUGACUUUGGGAUAACUUCAGGAAACUGGGGCUAAUACCGGAUAGGAGCUCUUGCUGCAUGGUGGGGGUUGGAAAGUUUCGGCGGUUGGGGAUGGACUCGCGGCUUAUCGGCUUGAUGGUGGGGUAGUGGCUUACCAAGGCUUUGACGGGUAGCCGGCCUGAGAGGGGGACCGGCCACACUGGGACUGAGAUACGGCCCAGACUCGUAUGGGAGGCAGCGGUGGGGAAGAUUGCACAAUGGGCGGAAGCCUGAUGCAGCAACGCCGCGUGCGGGAUGACGGGCUGCGGGUUGUAAACCGCUUUCGCCUGUGACGAAGCGUGAGUGACGGUAACGGGUAAAGAAGCACCGGCUAACUACGUG